GAAACAGAGCUAGGUAUGGGAUUCACCUCGUCCUGAUAAACAACCGCAGCGAGAUUAGGCAAUGUGCAGAGCUCCAAAGCUUUGGGCUGCCAGAGUUUGAACUGGCAGGACUUCUCACAUCAUAUUUAAUUUUGUGGUUUUGUAGAAGAACAAGGCAGUAGUUAUUUUAAUAAAUCAUGGGUAUUUUUCCUGAUGUAUAAAGUAGAAGGACAGUCUUAGCGAUUGCUCAAAUUCUGUUUUGAAAAAUAGGAUGAACUAAUUCAAAGCUGAAUUAUAAGUUUACUUUUUAGGACGUGGUGUGAUGUUUAUCUGGAACAGGUGCUAUGAAGUACACCCCCUCAAGCAAAUGCAGACUCUUGAGGUCCAUUAGAAAGGUGAAAGGCUUGCGCUGUGGGAUAACAGUGGGCGGCAGUACCCUGUUGAUUGUUUAUAAGUCUGGAUGGGGUGGCUUGCUGUGUAUGGUUUUCAACAAGGAAGUCUUUACCUUUUUCUCUUCUAAAAACCUCCAAUAAAAAUCUUGAUAUAGCUCAGAAAACAGCUCUUUAUUGAGGGUUCUCUGUUCCAUUUUUGGGAUGCCUUAGCUCUCUCUCCUUUCACUGACCUCUGUUAGCCCCUCACUUCUGCCGGACUCGGGGAGAGGGCUUGGUCUGGUCUGGCAGAGGGAAAGACUGAAGGUCGUACUCUGACCCCUUCUGCCGCUUUCUCUGGUUCCUUCUUCAGUGUCUUGCUUCAUGUUGGCAGCUAAAGUAAACCAUCGAAUUCGGGGCGUUAGGAACUCCCACCCAGCAGCCUGAGAAUGAAUAGUGACUUUUGCUUGCUAUUACUCUUUUGUAUUGUUUAGAGAUAGAUGGUAAAAAUUCAUGUUUGUCUUAGUCCCAGCAGCAGUGAACUAUGACACGUGAAUGAGGCUGUUGCUCAGAGGAUCUGAGUGGGUACAUUUUCUAUUUUGUUUACUUUGUUUUAAAAAUUUCUAGUCCCACAGUAUAAAAAUUUUAUGGAAAAAUUGAAAUAGCUAAUUUUCUGUGUAUAAAAUUUCACUGUAAAUUAAAAUAUAAAAUUUGCAUAUAUAUUACUAUCAAAGAUGUUUCUAUGUCUUGGUCCCUCAGCCUUCAACCAUUAUAUUAUAUUAUAUUAUAUUAUAUUAUAUUAUAUUAUAUUAUAUUAUAUUAUAUUAUAUAUUUAGUUGUGCUCUCCUUUAAUUUACCAUGUUUUUUGUUUAAAUGGUCUCUUAGUUACUGUAACUAUAGCCUAUAGUAUUGUGCAAUACAAUCGCUUCUAGCUUCCUUCCAGUUGGACAUUUUCUUGAAAUGUAUAAUGGGAGGGGAGCUGUUUCCCAGACUAAUGAUACAACUUUACUAUGAAAUACAGGGUAGAGUUCUUAAAGAUUGAUUUUGUUUGUCUAUGUGUGUCUGUGGGAGGUUUUUUUUUUUUUUGGUUUUUCGAGACAGUGUUUCUCUUUGUAGCCCUGGCUGUCCUGGAACUCACUCUGUAGACCAGGCUGGCCUCGAACUCAGAAAUCCGCCUGCCUCUGCCUCCCGAGUGCUGGGAUUAAAGGCGUGUGCCAUCACGCCUGGCUAGUCUGUUGGAGUUUUACAUGCACCACAUGUGUGCGGGUGCCCGAGGAAGUCAGAUCUUCUGGAACUGGAAUUCAAAGUAGUUGUGUUCUGCCUGACGUGGGUGCUGGGAAUUGAAACUAAGUCCUUUGUAAGAGCAGGACAUGCUCUUAACCAUAGAGCCAUCAUCUCUUUCAUUCCCUCAACUGCUUAAAAAUUGAGUUGUUAGUUUAGUUCUUGUGUUUAUCUGGGAGAGAUAGCACACAGUACCCAUCUCCUAAAGCACACACACGUAAACUCCACUAGAAAGAGUGAUGACUGGCUGUACAGCUAUUUGUUGACUGCUUAUAAAUUCAGUCCUCCAUCCGUUAUUGCACAAGCUCCUCUCAAGGACCUUAUGCUGGUCGCUUCCUCAGCAG
rnacentral:lncRNA from 1 species